GACAGAGGGGGCAAGCGUUGUUCGGAAUUACUGGGCGUAAAGGGCGCGUAGGCGGCCACCUAAGUCAGACGUGAAAUCCCUCGGCUCAACCGGGGAACUGCGUCUGAUACUGGGCGGCUUGAAUUCGGGAGAGGGAUGCGGAAUUCCAGGUGUAGCGGUGAAAUGCGUAGAUAUCUGGAGGAACACCGGUGGCGAAGGCGGCAUCCUGGACCGACAUUGACGCUGAGGCGCGAAAGCCAGGGGAGCAAACGGG
rnacentral:rRNA from 1 species